GACGAACGCUGGCGGCGUGCUUAACACAUGCAAGUCGAACGAUGAAGCCGGAGCUUGCUCUGGUGAAUUAGUGGCGAACGGGUGAGUAACACGUGAGUAACCUGCCCUUGACUCUGGGAUAACUGCUAGAAAUGGUAGCUAAUACCGGAUACGACCCUCGGAGGCAUCUCCAGGGGGUGGAAAGAAUUUCGGUCAAGGAUGGACUCGCGGCCUAUCAGCUAGUUGGUGAGGUAACGGCUCACCAAGGCGACGACGGGUAGCCGGCCGGAGAGGGUGACCGGACACACUGGGACGGAGACACGGCCCAGACUCCUACGGGAGGCAGCAGUGGGGAAUAUUGCACAAGGGGCGAAAGCCUGAUGCAGCAACGCCGCGUGAGGGAUGAAGGCCUUCGGGUUGUAAACCUCUGUUAGCAGGGAAGAAGCGAAAGUGACGGUACCUGCAGAAAAAGCACCGGCUAACUACGUGCCAGCCGCCGCAGUAA
rnacentral:rRNA from 1 species